GGAUGUGAGGGCAAUCUGGCUGCGACAUCUGUCACCCCAUUGAUCGCCAGGGUUGAUUCGGCUGAUCUGGCUGGCUAGGCGUGUGCCCCCUUCCUCCCUCACUGCUCCACGUGCAUCCCUCCCGAAGCUGUGCACUUUGUUGAAGAGGACGGCCUUCCCCGAAUAGAGAUGGACCAAUCUUUGGUCGAGGGUAUACAAGUAGCUGCAUUCCCCUGCUAGAACCUCCAAACAAGCUCUCAAGGUCCAAGUCGAUCCACUUGGAAUUUAAUUUUGUGUUUGGUGAAAUAUAGUGGCUCAGUUUCAUU
rnacentral:snRNA from 1 species